rnacentral:lncRNA from 1 species
GCCAAGUUAAGAAAGAAAGAAUUAAGGAGCUGGAGACUGGUGGCUUGCUAAGAUGUUUACAGAUGGCAAGUGUGGUAGAAAUGAAAGUGAAGAGGGAAGGCAAGUUGAUACUAGCAAGUCCUCAUUCUUCCUGGCUUCUGGACUCAGCUGAGAAUUCUGGAUUCUUUCUUUCUCAUAUGUCAACCUGA